rnacentral:rRNA from 1 species
GACAGAGGUGCCGAGCGUUAGGCGGAAUCACUGGGCUUAAAGCGUGUGUAGGCGGAUGCCUAAGUACCUUGUGAAAUCCCACGGCUUAACCGUGGAACUGCUUGGUAUACUGGGUGUCUUGAGCCACUUAGGGGCGACCGGAACAAACGGUGGAGCGGUGAAAUGCGUAGAUAUCGUUUGGAACGCCAAUGGUGAAAACAGGUCGCUGGGAGUGCGCUGACGCUGAGACACGAAAGCGUGGGGAGCGAACAGG